rnacentral:rRNA from 1 species
UACGUGAGGGUGCGAGCGUUGUCCGGAAUUACUGGGCGUAAAGAGCUUGUAGGUGGUUUGUCGCGUUGUUCGUGAAAUCUCACGGCUUAACUGUGAGCGUGCGGGCGAUACGGGCAGACUAGAGUACUGCAGGGGGAGACUGGAAUUCCUGGUGUAGCGGUGGAAUGCGCAGAUAUCAGGAGGAACACUGGUGGCGAAGGCGGGUCUCUGGGCAGUAACUGACGCUGAGAAGCGAAAGCGUGGGGAGCGAACAGG